GUCUGUCCGUUCCCCUUCAGUUCCAGCUUCCAUUUCCCAUUCAAUACGAGUCUCACGACUUCUCCACUUCCUCUUCUUCCUCCUCACCACAUCCUAUAUAUCUCCAAGAAUUUCAGUGCGAAUCUGGAAGCCACCACAGUUCAACAAAAAAAAAAGAUUGACAUCACAGAUCAAUAGGAAACUGAAAAGAAAAAAACCUGGUAUCAUAGCAUCAAGAACUGAGCCGGAGGAUGCAGACGGCGACGCACGG
rnacentral:lncRNA from 1 species